CCUUACCUGGCCUUGACAUACUAAGAACUUUCCAGAGAUGGAUUGGUGCCUUCGGGAACUUAGAUACAGGUGCUGCAUGGCUGUCGUCAGCUCGUGUCGUGAGAUGUUGGGUUAAGUCCCGCAACGAGCGCAACCCUUUUCCUUAUUUGCCAGCGGGUUAAGCCGGGAACUUUAAGGAUACUGCCAGUGACAAACUGGAGGAAGGCGGGGACGACGUCAAGUCAUCAUGGCCCUUACGGCCAGGGCUACACACGUGCCACAAUGGUCGGUACAAAGGGUUGCUACCUCGCGAGAGGAUGCUAAUCUCAAAAAGCCGAUCGUAGUCCGGAUCGCAGUCUGCAACUCGACUGCGUGAAGUCGGAAUCGCUAGUAAUCGCGGAUCAGAAUGCCGCGGUGAAUACGUUCCCGGGCCUUGUACACACCGCCCGUCACACCAUGGGAGUUUGUUGCACCAGAAGUAGGUAGUCUAACCGCAAGGAGGACGCUUACCACGGUGUGGCCGAUGACUGGGGUGAAGUCGUAACAAGGUAAGCGUAGAUGA
rnacentral:rRNA from 1 species